rnacentral:rRNA from 1 species
CCUACGGGAGGCAGCAGUGGGGAAUAUUGCACAAUGGGGGAAACCCUGAUGCAGCGACGCCGCGUGAGUGAAGAAGUAUUUCGGUAUGUAAAGCUCUAUCAGCAGGGAAGAAAAUGACGGUACCUGACUAAGAAGCCCCGGCUAACUACGUGCCAGCAGCCGCGGGAAUACGUAGGGGGCAAGCGUUAUCCGGAUUUACUGGGUGUAAAGGGGGCGUAGACGGAAUUGCAAGUCAGAUGUGAAAAUCCCGGGCACAAACCAGGCACUGCCUUGGAAACUGGAGUUCUAGAGUGUCGGAGAGGCAAGCGGAAUUCCCGGUGUAGCGGUGAAAUGCGUAGAUAUCAGGAGGAACACCAGUGGCGAAGGCGGCUUGCUGGACGAUGACUGACGUUGAGGCUCGAAAGCGUGGGGAGCAAACAGGAUUAGAUACCCCUGUAGUC